UUUUGCCGCCGCUUCUCUGAUGUCUCGAUGUCUUUCUCUUGGGUUUGACGUUGAAAAAAUUCAAUAUUUUGACAGCAUUGUGUGUUGAGUUAUAGAACUGAAUUAAUUUGUCAAUCAAAGUGGAUAGAUAAAGGAAAUAUUAGGAGAGCAGAGAGAGUGGUUCCCCCGAAAACUGGCUGCCAGGGCAACCCGCUUAUCCUCCACCCACAAAUGGCAUUGCUGUGAUUGGCAAAGAAAUAUGCUAGACCACUUUUCCACGCAUUUGCCCCACUGUACAUACCAUAGCGAUUACGCGCUGGCGUGGAAUCGAACGGCAAUCGCACUUGCGGUACAAACAACGUUGUUCUGGGUUCUGGAUUCUGGAUUUUGGAUUCUGGAUACUCCUUCCCGUUCUACUCGUCGUAUUUGUCCCGAUCUUGGGACUGGUGUUGUAUAUGUUUACAAAUCGUGAUUCAAGUAGUAGCGUCAAUACGAAAAUGUUUCUCCAAGGCGCAUCCCCCCCCACCACUCAAACAGCCAUUGUGGAGCUGCGCGGCAUUCAACCGAAUUGGGUUGUAUCUGUGUGUUUGUGUGUGUGUAUCUGUGUGAUCAUCGUCAAGGCGGCCAUGAAGAUGGAUUUCUUUCUUUCAGUCUUGAGAGAGGGAGAGAGAGAGAGAGAUCUUUCUUUUGGGCCAGCAACAAAGCCAAAGAAGUUGUUUUGUUGUGGCAAGCAUUGUUGCUGUGAUCAAAGCGGCUUGGCGCGUCUCACAUAUGAGUUUGAUGUUCUUUUCUCCACCGCACUCCACCGCAGAUUGUGGCACAAAGGGGGAGUCAAUAGGUUGUAUACCCUUCGUUUAGAUGCCAUAGAAAUCAUGAGUCUUCGUGGAAGAGGGUAUCAAAGCCUUCGGCACUUAAGAGUCCACCUUCCCUUUCACGUUUUUCUUGUAUUAAAUUGUAAUUACUCAU
rnacentral:sRNA from 1 species